rnacentral:miRNA from 1 species
UUUAUACGUCGAAUUUUGGUCGCGUCGAAUGCAAUUAAGACAAUAGAUCAUUAUCUAUUGAUAAACCUCAUUAAGCUUCAUUAUCUAUUGUUUGAAUUGCAUUCGACGCGACCGAAAUUCGACGUAUAAA